AGCCGGGCAUGGUGGCACAUGCCUGUAAUCCCAGCUACUUGGGAGGGUGAAGCAGGAGAAUCGCUUGAAUCUGGGAGGUGGAGGUUGCAGUGAGCCAAGAUGGUACCACUGCACUCCAGUCUGGGUGACACAGCAAGACCCUGUCUCAAAAAAAAAAAAAAAGAAAGAAAGAAAGAAAGUGAAAGUGGAAUGGGAGAAAAUUAUUUGUAAAUCAUAUACGUAAGGGACUUGCAUAUAGAAUAUCUAAAAAACACAACUCAAUAAUUAUCUCCCAUGAAACAACUGAGACAGAAAAAUACUGCAUGUUCUCAUAAGUGGAAGCUAAAUAAUAUAUGUACAUGGAGGUAGAGUGUGGAAUGAUAGACAAAGGAGACUUGGAAGGGUAGAGAGGUGGGAGAGGUGUGGAAGAUGAAAUUACUUAAUAAGUACAAUGUAUGCUAGUCUGGUGAUAGAUACACUAAAAGCCUUGACUUCACCACUAUGCAAUAUAUCUAUGUAACAAAAUUACACUUAUACUUCAUAAAUUUAUAUAGACAACAAAAAAAUGUUUUGUUUUAUUUUUUAGAGACGGAGUCUCACUCUGUUGUCCAGGCUGGAGUGCAGUGGUGUGAUCUUGGCUCAUUGCAACCUCUGUCUCCCAGGUUCAAGCAAUUCUC
rnacentral:lncRNA from 1 species